AGUGAAGGCUCUGGGAUGCAGAACGGAGAAUGCUUUGCUUCUAGAGCAAGGAAAAAUACUUGUAUUGAGCAUCAUGAAGUUCGUGUUACUAACCUCACAGGCAAUCGACAGCCUGGGAGAUAGUCCCUAGGGCUUCAGAUCUUGUGUGGUGUUCAUCCCACCAUCUUCAGGCCCACAGUGUGUCAUUUUCCCACCUCUGCUUUGUUAGUUUUGUGUUUGACGAUGUCACAUUGGUAGCUUGAAAUCAGCAAUGAGGACAAUACGGAGUUACAUCAUGGAAACUGGAAAAUGUUACCAACUAGGGCUUUCUGUGAUUUGCUUACCAGCAUAUACCACUGGAAAUGGGUCAUCAGUUAGGCUUG